CAGCAGCCACGGUAAUACGAAGGGGGCUAGCGUUGUUCGGAUUUACUGGGCGUAAAGGGCGCGUAGGCGGACUGAUAAGUCAGGGGUGAAAUCCCGAGGCUCAACCUUGGAACUGCCUUUGAUACUGUUUGUCUUGAGUUCGAGAGAGGUAAGUGGAACUGCGAGUGUAGAGGUGAAAUUCGUAGAUAUUCGCAAGAACACCAGUGGCGAAGGCGGCUUACUGGCUCGAAACUGACGCUGAGGCGCGAAAGCGUGGGGAGCAAACAGGAUUAGAGACCCCAGUAGUCCCUGUCUCUUAUAC
rnacentral:rRNA from 1 species